GAUGAACGCUGGCGGCGUGCCUAAUACAUGCAAGUCGAGCGAACGGACGAGAAGCUUGCUUUUCUGAUGUUAGCGGCGGACGGGUGAGUAACACGUGGAUAACCUACCUAUAAGACUGGGAUAACUUUGGGAAACCGGAGCUAAUACCGGAUAAUAUUUUGAACCGCAUGGUUCAAAAGUGAAAGACGGUCUUGCUUUCACUUAUAGAUUGAUCCGCGCUGCAUUAGCUAGUUGGUAAGGUAACGGCUUACCAAGGCAACGAUGCAUAGCCGACCUGAGAGGGUGAUCGGCCACACUGGAACUGAGACACGGUCCAGACUCCUACGGGAGGCAGCAGUAGGGAAUCUUCCGCAAUGGGCGAAAGCCUGACGGAGCAACGCCGCGUGAGUGAUGAAGGUCUUCGGAUCGUAAAACUCUGUUAUUAGGGAAGAACAUAUGUGUAAGUAACUGUGCACAUCUUGACGGUACCUAAUCAGAAAGCCACGGCUAACUACGUG
rnacentral:rRNA from 1 species